rnacentral:rRNA from 1 species
UUCGCACAACCUUGAACACAGGUGCUGCGUGGUGUGUCGUCAGCUCGUGUCGUGAGAUGUUGGGUUAAGUCCCGCAACGAGCGCAACCCUUGUCCUUAGUUGCCAGCACGUAAUGGUGGGAACUCUAAGGAGACCGCCGGUGACAAACCGGAGGAAGGUGGGGAUGACGUCAAGUCAUCCUGGCCCUUACGGCCAGGGCUACACACGUACUACAAUGGGAAGGACAGAGGGCUGCAAUCCCGCGAGGGUGAACCCAAUCCCAAAAACCUUCUCUCAGUCCGGAUUGGAGUCUGCAACUCGACUCCAUGAAGUCGGAAUCGCUAGUAAUCGCAGAUCAGCAUUGCUGCGGUGAAUACGUUCCCGGGCCUUGUACACACCGCCCG